UACGUAGGCAGCGAGCGUUGUUCGGAGUUACUGGGCGUAAAGGGUGUGUAGGCGGUUGUUUAAGUUUGGUGUGAAAUCUCCCGGCUCAACUGGGAGGGUGCGCCGAAUACUGAAUGACUUGGAGUGCGGGAGAGGAGAGUGGAAUUCCUGGUAUAGCGGUGAAAUGCGUAGAUAUCAGGAGGAACACCGGUGGUGUAGACGGCUCUCUGGACCGUAACUGACGCUGAGGAGCGAAAGCGUGGGGAGCAAACAGG
rnacentral:rRNA from 1 species